rnacentral:lncRNA from 1 species
ACUACAGCUAUACAGUAGUUCAAAUUGUUAUGUUUUGACUUUGUAUUGCAAUUUCUAUUGUAUGUUUAAGAGAAACACUCAUAUAUUUGAACUAAUUGUCGAUAUCAAGGUUUCAAAGGUAUAAAAAUAAUUUUUCAUGUGAACAAAAGGUCAAUAAUGUAAUGGUUUCUAUAUAUAAAAAAAAUGCAAUUUGCUACAACUAAGGAUAUUGAAAGUAACAUAGUACAUGUAUAGUUCUAUUGAUUAUAUAAGAUGGCAUUCAUUGGUUCAAAUAAGUGUUGAGGUAAGGUACAUACUUGAUCAAAGUAUGGUUCGGACUCGAUCCGCGUUUGAUUCUGACUUGACAUGUUAAACUUGAGUGUUAGUCACAUGAUAUAAAAUAUAUAAGAACUUGUCAAGUAAAAAUCAGAUAUAAAUUCAGACUGUUAAAUAUGAACUAUUUGUACGUCGAGUAAAAUUAAGUUAAUUAACGACCCUUUAAAAAUGCAUGCAUGCUAAUGUAAGACUGUUCCUUACGUCGUAAAUACAAUCAGCUUUCCGUUCAUGAAUGUCACCUACUGAAUAAUAGAAUUGAAAAUGCAUUUUACUUCUGUUUAGGUUUGAAUUAGAUGUCUCUAUAUCUUUUGAAAAUGAGUUUCAUCAGUGUGAAAGUAUAAAAGAUCUUUUGAGGCCUAGUAAGGCAUGAUGUAUCUAGCAAUAUCACGUUAAUAAUACCGUAUAAAGUGUGGUAACACAAAGUUAUCACGUUUCAAUUCAAAGCAGACGUGUAGACAAUCAUUUAAUAAUUUGCGGUUAUUGUUAAUUUUGAGACUGUGGACUUUACACAUGAACAAUCUAGCCAAACAUUUAACACAAUCAUUGAUCAGUCAAUCGUUAUGUGAUACAAUUUAUGAUUACUUUUUUGAAAUAUGCUUAGCCUAUUGAUUGAUAUAUUUAACAAUUGUAAUAACUUGGUAUGUACAUUGUAUGUAUGUUUUUGUUUUAAUGUGUUAUCAUAUGUUAUUCUAGCAACAAUAGGUCAUUUUGGCAUAGGUUUAUUGGAGAAGCAUAGAACAGCUGACAACCCGAGGACUAUAAGAUAUCAUAGUCAUGUGUAUACAGAGUACGUUUUAAUGCAAACAACAAUAACCGUCAUCAUAUGAUCCAUCUGUCAUUUAAGUGACAGUAUUAAACAUUUGUUUUUCUGUUAAUUUUACCGAAAGAAAGGUAGAUUCGUAUUGACCACUAACACCUUUUUCUGACACAUUAUCAUUUAGGUUAUAUAGCACACAACUUUAUUCGUUUAAAAAACAUUCAUAUACAUUUGAUGUAUUUAUAAUUAUAUCUUUAUAUAAUAACACGUUUAUGUGUAGUCAA